ensembl:snoRNA snoRNA:Psi28S-2566 snoRNA:Psi28S-2566
UUUCACAGGUCAGUCAGCUGUACGGUUCUGGUUUUAAACGUCAACCGAAUAGCGUUACACCAGUGAUAGAGCAAUAAAUGCGGCUGUGCCAUUCCCCCUGUCCACCUGUGGCCACUGUUCUAGUGGCCACGCCGGGCAAUCCGGGGCGUGGCACUUGGCCGGGCGCCCUUCCCUAGAGAGUUGAAUUACCUGAGUGGGGGGAGGACGACGACUUGUUGUUGUUGUCCCCCUGCAAACCAUCUAAUUCCUAGUUGGGAAGGUUACAUUU